rnacentral:rRNA from 1 species
GAUCAUGGCUCAGGAUGAACGCUAGCGACAGGCCUAACACAUGCAAGUCGAGGGGCAGCGGAGAGGUAGCAAUACCUUUGCCGGCGACCGGCGCACGGGUGAGUAACACGUAUGCAAUCCACCUGUAACAGGGGGGAUAACCCGGAGAAAUCCGGACUAAUACCCCAUAAUAUGGGCGCUCCGCAUGGAGAGCCCAUUAAAGAGAGCAAUUUUGGUUACAGACGAGCAUGCGCU